rnacentral:rRNA from 1 species
UACGAAGGGGGCUAGCGUUGCUCGGAAUCACUGGGCGUAAAGGGCGCGUAGGCGGCUGUACAAGUCAAAGGUGAAAUCCCUCGGCUCAACUGAGGAACUGCCUUUGAAACUGUACGGCUUGAGGCCGGGAGGGGGUAGCGGAAUUCCCAGUGUAGCGGUGAAAUGCGUAGAUACUGGGAGGAACACCAGUGGCGAAGGCGGCUACCUGGACCGGUUCUGACGCUGAGGCGCGAAAGUGUGGGUAGCAAACAGG